CGCGGUUAUGUGGCAACUUGGAAUAUUUUGUUAACAUCCGGUAUUAGAAAACUUAAACAUAAACUAAUAAAACAUGUCAACAGUGUGCGUAUCCGUGACUGUCCCCUCGAAGGUCUCUCUUCGAUCGGGAACACGGCGGGGUUAUGAAUGCCGUAGGUAGGUGUUCAGGAUCACUUUCGGAUCAAGUAUUCACGUCCGUUAGUAUAGAUCACUGUCACUUUUCCCUUUGCGUAAGUUAGCCACUUAUUCAAUCUUAGGGUGCAGCAGCCGGAAACACUUCAUCCCUUCCUUACCCGUUAACAUGACUAGGUCUGGCACCA
rnacentral:lncRNA from 1 species